rnacentral:SRP_RNA from 1 species
AGGUGGACUAGGUCGGGGGGUUAGGCCCCCCUCCCUCGCCCGCACUAUGGUCUUGAGCGGGGACCGAACCCGGGGGCGUCCGGUCUGCCGGGCGUGGACCCUGUGAGCCAACAGAGAAGCCUCGUCCGCCGGGGCCGACGGUCCGCGGGAGUACGCCUGCAGGGGCGUCCUGCCGCGGUUUACCGAGGGCAGUUCGUCAGGCGCGGAAGCGAGCAGCGAACCCUCGGACACUCGGCGCUCGUCGGAUCGCGGGGUGGAGGAGGCGAACGGGACUACCCACGUCCGAACGCCGGGCAAUCCCGGCGUCCGCCA